rnacentral:misc_RNA from 1 species
GUGAAUCAUCGAAUCUUUGAACGCACCUUGCACCCUUUGGUAUUCCGAAGGGUACACCCGUUUGAGUGUCAUUGUAAUCUCACCAUCCAACUCUUUGUUGGCAUGUUGUGGAUUUGGAUGUUGCCGUGUCACAACGGCUCAUCUGAAAUGCCUGAGUACAUCCUGGAUGUGUGAUGUGUUCGGUGUGAUAAACUUUCACCGGCUCUGACCCUGGCGGUCACACUCACCUGACCAAGGCUCUGUGCUUCCAACCGUCUUGAUUGGACAAUUUUGACAAUUUGACCUCAAAUCGGGUGGGACUACCCGCUGAACUUAAGCAUAUCAAUAAGCGGAGGA